GACAGAGGGUGCAAACGUUGUUCGGAAUUACUGGGCGUAAAGCGCGUGUAGGCGGCUAUGCAAGUCGGAUGUGAAAGCCCUCGGCUCAACCGGGGAAGUGCACCCGAAACUGCAAAGCUAGAGUCUCGGAGAGGAUCGUGGAAUUCUCGGUGUAGAGGUGAAAUUCGUAAGAUAUCGAGAGGAACACCGGUGGCGAAAGGCGGCGGACUCUGGACGAUGACUG
rnacentral:rRNA from 1 species